GCCUGGCUGGCUCAGCCGGUAGAGCAUGCGACUCUUAAUCUCAGGGUUGUGAGUUCAAGUCCCACGUUGGGCA
rnacentral:tRNA from 1 species